CCCCGCCCGCGCCCCGCCCUCCGGCGCUGGCCUUCGCAGCCGGGAAAGGCUGGGAAGAUGUUGGAGACGCUGCGGGAGCGGUUGCUGAGCGUCCAGCAGGACCUCACCGCCGGGUUGAAGACUUUGGGCGACAAAUCAAGAGAUGCAAAGAAAAGUAGGCAAAGAACUGUUCAGUGUUUGCCAGAGUUUUCUGCUGGACUGGAAUUACUAAGCAGGUAUGAAGAUGCUUGGGCUGCCCUUCAUAAAGGAGCCAAAGAUUGUGCAAAAGCUGGAGAGCUGGUUGACAGUGAAGUUGUGAUGCUUUCUGCACACUGGGAGAAGAAAAGGAGCAGUCUGGUGGAACUGCAGGAUCAGCUUCAGCAGAUACCAGGGUUCUUAGCAGAUCUGGAAUGCCUCACAGCAAGCCUAGCCCAGCUAGAGGCAAACUUUGAGGAAAUGGAGAAUCAUCUGUUGUGUCUUGAGGAACUAUGUGAGCAGUGUGAAUUGGAAAGGUACAAAUGUAUGCAAACAUUACAGCUGGAAAACUACAAGAAAACAAAAAGGAAGGAACUGGAGACAUUCAAAGCUGAACUCGAUGCUGAACAUGCGCAGAAGGUUUUGGACAUGGAGCACACCCAGCAGAUGAAGCUAAAGGAGCGCCAGAAGUUCUUUGAAGAAGCCUUCCAGCAGGACAUGGAGCAAUACCUUUCCACAGGAUACUUGCAGAUAGCCGAGAGGAGAGAACCCAUUGGAAGUAUGUCUUCCAUGGAGGUGAACGUGGACAUGCUGGAGCAGAUGGACCUAAUGGACAUGUCUGACCAGGAAGCACUCGACGUCUUUUUGAACUCAGGAAGCGAAGACAAUAAUGUGCUGUCUCCCAUGCUGGGGCCUGACUCCAACACCUACGUGAACGAGAUCAGUCUCCAGGUGCCGAGCCAGUCGGAGUUACGGCAGAAACUCUGUUCCCUGUCCUCGACCUGCACCGACUCCGCCAGCCAGGACGCGAGCGAAGGAGAAUCCCCCGUUGUUCAGUCGGAUGAAGAGGAGGUUCAAGUGGACACUGCCCUUGCUGCUGUAACUGAGAGAAAGGGUGCUUCAGAUGGCAGUGAUGAAAGUGACUCUCAAACUAAUUGAAUCUUAAAACCAUAUCCUUUAAGAAUGUCUUCUGAAUGAAUGAACAAGUGAAUGAAGAGCUUGCCUGUGUAACAAUUUGCUAACCAAGCGUAACAGCCAGAUCUUUUUACUUAGUAAUACUGCCUUUUUACAAAAUUGCCAGUCAUGUGGAGGUUGGUUUUUAAAGAAAAAAUUACGCCUAAAGCACACACACUUUAACAGUAGUCUUGGGGCUCAGGGGAGCAGUAAAGCUGUUGUAUAUACUAUGUAUAAGAGAAUUUAAGGGGAAAGGUAGAAGUUACUUUGACCACUAACCUUUAAAUGGCUGAUUGGAAGUACUUAAGAGUUGAUGUGUAAUACUGAACCCAAAUUGUUCCUUGCAUGUUUUCAGCUGCUGCAAAUGAAGAUUUAGGAUCCAAACCAAAAUGAAAAGUUAUUUUCUACUCUUUACUACCUACUGUCUGCCUCCUGCCUUUGUCUACUAACGCAGCGGUGUCUACUGUUCUCACACUUCUUAUUCAGGACCAACUUAGUUAUAGGUGUUAAGGAAAAAAUAAGAACCCGAGAAGGAGGAGAGAUGCAUAUGGAAAUGUUGCACUCCUUGUGGAGCAGGUAUUUUAUCCAUGACAAGUGAACAGAGGAGCCUAACUCAGGAAGAAAAAUGAUUAGGAGCACCAAUGUAAUGUGCUUUUCCAUGGUAACAUCUGUUUGACUACACUAGGGAGAUAAACCUGAGUUAAUUGUUAAUUAAGUUUGUGUAUUUUAGAAACCUCAGGACCUAUAGGCAUCAUCUCAUUCCCAUUUUUUCUGCAGUCGUUUUUCUCUCUGAACUUGAGGUCUGAGCAUGUCUAAUGCCUGUUGCUUGUCAAGUCUCAUGCUCUGUUUUCAGGGAUCUGCUCUCCUUUGAGAAGGCUCCUGGCUCCUGCUCUUCCUGCACAGAGGGAAGGAAUGUAAUCAGAAACAGUAUGCAUAGUGAUGUGCUGGUAAAAGAGAACAUACUCCAAAUCUCCUCCUUUUGCCUACAGUUAGGAAACAAAGUCCAUCUUCAGCUGCCAUAACCUCCCAAAGAAAGUGUGUAUUCUCCAAUUUAAAAAAUUACAAAACUCAUCUUGCUGUGACAGAAUAAAAGACAGCCAAAGUAAAGCAAUUUCUUUCAA